rnacentral:rRNA from 1 species
GAUGAACGCUGGCGGCGUGCCUAAUACAUGCAAGUCGAGCGAAUGGAUUAAGAGCUUGCUCUUAUGAAGUUAGCGGCGGACGGGUGAGUAACACGUGGGUAACCUGCCCAUAAGACUGGGAUAACUCCGGGAAACCGGGGCUAAUACCGGAUAACAUUUUGAACCGCAUGGUUCGAAAUUGAAAGGCGGCUUCGGCUGUCACUUAUGGAUGGACCCGCGUCGCAUUAGCUAGUUGGUGAGGUAACGGCUCACCAAGGCAACGAUGCGUAGCCGACCUGAGAGGGUGAUCGGCGACACUGGGACUGAGACACGGCCCAGACUCCUACGGGAGGCAGCAGUAGGGAAUCUUCCGCAAUGGACGAAAGUCUGACGGAGCAACGCCGCGUGAGUGAGGAAGGCUUUCGGGUCGUAAAACUCUGUUGUUAGGGAAGAACAAGUGCUAGUUGAAUAAGCUGGCACCUUGACGGUACCUGACCAGAAAGCCACGGCUAACUACGUGCCAGCAGCCGCCGUAA